UACGUAGGUGACAAGCGUUGUUCGGAUUUACUGGGCGUAAAGAGCGCGCAGGCGGUCGUUCAAGUCGAGUGUGAAAGCCCCCGGCUCAACUGGGGAGGGUCAUUCGAUACUGAUCGACUCGAAGGCAGGAGAGGGAAGUGGAAUUCCCGGUGUAGUGGUGAAAUGCGUAGAUAUCGGGAGGAACACCAGUGGCGAAGGCGACUUCCUGGCCUGUUCUUGACGCUGAGGCGCGAAAGCUAGGGGAGCAAACGGG
rnacentral:rRNA from 1 species